CACAUGCAAGUCGAACGGCAGCAUGAUCUAGCUUGCUAGAUUGAUGGCGAGUGGCGAACGGGUGAGUAAUACAUCGGAACGUGCCCUGUAGUGGGGGAUAACUAGUCGAAAGAUUAGCUAAUACCGCAUACGACCUGAGGGUGAAAGUGGGGGACCGCAAGGCCUCAUGCUAUAGGAGCGGCCGAUGUCUGAUUAGCUAGUUGGUGAGGUAAAGGCUCACCAAGGCGACGAUCAGUAGCUGGUCUGAGAGGACGAUCAGCCACACUGGGACUGAGACACGGCCCAGACUCCUACGGGAGGCAGCAGUGGGGAAUUUUGGACAAUGGGCGAAAGCCUGAUCCAGCAAUGCCGCGUGUGUGAAGAAGGCCUUCGGGUUGUAAAGCACUUUUGUCCGGAAAGAAAUGGCUCUGGUUAAUACCUGGGGUCGAUGACGGUACCGGAAGAAUAAGGACCGGCUAACUACGUGCCAGCAGCCGCGGUAAUACGUAGGGUCCAAGCGUUAAUCGGAAUUACUGGGCGUAAAGCGUGCGCAGGCGGUUGUGCAAGACCGAUGUGAAAUCCCCGAGCUUAACUUGGGAAUUGCAUUGGUGACUGCACGGCUAGAGUGUGUCAGAGGGGGGUAGAAUUCCACGUGUAGCAGUGAAAUGCGUAGAGAUGUGGAGGAAUACCGAUGGCGAAGGCAG
rnacentral:rRNA from 1 species